rnacentral:misc_RNA from 1 species
GUGACUCAGAGACCUUCUCCUUCCCUUCACCGCACAGAUUUCACAAUGGCUACUCCCAAGACGAUCUACAUUGCAGGCCCCGCUGUGUUCCACCCCGACAACGGCGAGGCGUACUACAACAAUGUACGUGCACUGAUGAAGGAGAAGGGAGUGGUGCCGCUCAUUCCAGUGGACAACAUCGCCACCGGAGCACUGAGCAUCCGCAACAAGAACAUCGACAUGAUCCGGGCGUGCGACGCCGUCAUCGCCGACCUCUCCCCGUUCCGCUCCAAAGAGCCCGACUGCGGAACCGCCUUCGAGCUCGGCUACGCGGCGGCGCUCGGAAAGCUGCUGCUGACUUUUUCCACUGACACGCGCCCCAUGGUGGAAAAGUAUGGUGGCGAGAUGGCGGAUGGCCUCUCCGUCGAGAACUUUGGACUGCCGUUCAACCUGAUGCUGCACGACGGAACGGACGUGUUCGAUUCCUUUGAGGCGGCCUUUGCCCAUUUCGUUGAGCACCACCUUACCCCGUGAAUCCAGAUAUCGAAUCUCUUCGCUUUCCUCACCUUCCUUUCCUUUACCGCUUCCCAGUUGACCGCAAGCGCAUAAACGAGAAGAAACAGCGUAGCAAAAACAAAAACCACCGUAUACUGGAAGUCUCUGUGUGCUCCUGGACUGCAGUUACCCCGCACAGUCCUGCUGGUGACUGUCGUUCUGCGCUCACGGUGAUACGAGUACUCACGGCAGAGCAAACAGCCACAAGUAAGUGAAAAAAAAAGCGCUGUGCCACUAAACGAGGAUUGCCUGUGGGCGUGUGCUGGUGUGCCGUGGACAAGGAACGCCCCGGUUCACCCAUACCUGCCGGCCAACCAGGCGCCAAACCGCCGUUCCCUUCUUCUUUCGAUGAUUUACCUCCAUACACAUCUGAUAU